AAACACACAUCUUCAAAUCGAAAGAAGAACGGGAAGCGAAAGGAGAGAACUGAAACAAACACCCCACACCCACCUGUUUCUUCUUUUCCUUUCUCUCUCACUCCUCUUUUUCCCCUUUCUCGCCCCAUCAAAAGUCCGUCAAGACAGUUGCAGUGCGUCAUUUGGUGAAACCGAAAGAGAGCGUCAAAGGAAAAAAAAAAAAGA
rnacentral:ribozyme from 1 species